GUAUGUCAGUGAUUCACACCAACAUUGGUUCAUAUUAUUAUUAUUUUUGGUUCUAGGUCAAAGGUUAAAUGUGUCAGUGUGUAUUUUGUAUUCACUUGGUAAAAGGGUGUUAGUGUAAGAAUUCACAGUGGGAUGGUUUUCGUGGAUGGAUCAGAAUGUUAAAAAAUCAUCCAAAAAUGAACAACUUUUGAAUUCAGACUUAAAACAAAUU